GUCCAGACUCCUACGGGAGGCAGCAGUGGGGGAUAUUGCACAAUGGGGGGAACCCUGAUGCAGCGACGCCGCGUGGGUGAAGGAGUGCUUCGGCAUGUAAAGCCCUAUCGGCAGGGAAGAAGCAAGACGGUACCUGACUAAGAAGCCCCGGCUAACUACGUGCCAGCAGCCGCGGUAAUACGUAGGGGGCAAGCGUUAUCCGGAUUUACUGGGUGUAAAGGGAGCGUAGACGGCGAUGCAAGCCAGAUGUGAAAGCCCGGGGCUCAACCCCGGGACUGCAUUUGGAACUGUGUGGCUGGAGUGUCGGAGAGGCAGGCGGAAUUCCUAGUGUAGCGGUGAAAUGCGUAGAUAUUAGGAGGAACACCAGUGGCGAAGGCGGCCUGCUGGACGAUGACUGACGUUGAAGCUCGAAAGCGUGGGGAGCAAACAGGAUUAGAUACCCGAGUA
rnacentral:rRNA from 1 species